UCGCAGAGGUGGUGGCGGGUCUGGCCCGCCCAUGGAGGCAAGGCCCAGGCGGGAGAAAAGAAAGUGUGGGGGCAGAAGUGGAAGUGGGGAGGAGAGGAGGCUGGGCCUGGAAGCGGAGACUGGGGGGAGCGCACAGAUGCUCUGUGCGGGGUUGGCUAGUUUUCAGAGAAGCUUCAAGUUCUGACACACUGAGAGAAGUCUGCAAAUCAAAGAGGAAGACCUGGUACACAGGCAGUCUUUUCAAAUAAACUUUUAUGUCUGGAUCAUGUCAGUGGCAGACGCCAUUGUGAAAAUAUCACUAGAUUUUAUAAGCUUUAAAGCCGAAGGUUGGCCUAACUUGCCUGGAUGCCAGUGAUGAGCUCUACACAAUGACUUCAGUCUCGGCUGUACAAUAAUAGAAUCAACUGUUUUUAACCCUAUUGCUGUUUGAUAAGCACCACGAAGCAAGGGCACUGAUAUGGCCAUACUUACAACAGCUGCUGAUGAAUGAGAGCAGUUUAGAUUAGUUGUCAAGAAAUACAGAGUGGGCUCUGUUAUCUCUAUGCUGAAAACACGACUAUAAUGAUGUACAAGCACUGGCAACUACUAUUUAUAUCACGGAACUAUGAAUUUACUCUGAUGUUUCUCGAGGGACCUAAUUUAAAACAGCAUUGUUGGUGAAACUCAGGUCAACAGGAAAGAAGUAACUAUGAGAGAAAUAUGGUCUGACAGCAGAAAUAUCAUUGAGCAUGCUACGAAGGGCUUUAUGUAAAAAGACUUUUGGGGAAUGUCAUGGAAAAUGAUAUAUCAUUUCCCCAUCUAAUCCACCACAAUGAUUAUUAAUUGAUAUUUUUCUUCAAAUGUUAAAAGGAAAGUCUUAUUGUUAGAUAAAAGGGAUAUGCUCAACCGAA